AAUCCUCCAUGAUAUCUUAGGCAUGACCCGACUCGGGACUGGAAACAACAAAACCUACAACAUGAAGGAUGUAGCCCUGAGUGUGGUCAACUUUAGUCAAGCUACUCGCACAUCUAGCAUGUCCAAUAACAGGAUCCAGAUGAACCCUCCACAGCUUCUGCCACAGAACACUUCAUCCAUUCCGCAAAUUUGGAUGCCAGUCGAUGCCCUGCAACAACUUCCAGAAGAGGAGCGGGUCAUUGGUUUGGUCGCUAUAGUGUCACAGCCAGUUUGAGAUAGAAAAGGUGGAGAUUGUAUCAAUGGUUGUCAGGAUUGAACUGUGCGGAAAGAAACACCUCCAGAAUCUGGCGACUUCAAUCAAAAUUAUCUUCUCUGUUUGUAGUUUGACAUA